GCCAGGGUAGCUCAGUUGGUGGCAGCACCGGAUUCAUAAACCGGAGGUCGAGAGUUCGAUCCUCUCCCCUGGCA
rnacentral:tRNA from 1 species